AUGUGUCUUCUUGCUCCAGCAUUCAAGUUCCAUUUCAAGGGAGGACGACGUACCAUGAUACUUUCUGUUUUGUCGAGCCCUGCUUUGGUCUCUAGUUUGAUGGUUGUACGUGCUAAAAAGCCGGUACAUUCCGUUUUGUUUCCCAUCCUAGUCUUUUGCGACACUUCUGGUUUACUUAUUUUGUUAGGUCUCGACUUCUCCGCUAUGAUCUCCCCAGUAGUUCAUAUAGGAGCUAUUGCCGUUUCAUUCCUAUUCGUGGUUAUGAUGUUCAAUAUUCAAAUAGCGGAGAUUCACGAAGAAGUAUUGCGCUAUUUACCAGUGAGUGGUAUUAUUGGACUGAUCUUUUGGUGGGAAAUGUUCUUCAUUUUAGAUAAUGAAACCAUUCCAUUACUACCAACCCACAGAAAUACGACCUCUCUGAGAUAUACGGUUUAUGCCGGAAAGGUACGAAGUUGGACUAAUUUGGAAACAUUGGGCAAUUUACUUUAUACCUACUAUUCCGUCUGGUUUUUGGUUUCUAGUCUGAUUUUAUUAGUUGCUAUGAUUGGGGCUAUAGUACUUACUAUGCAUAGGACUACAAAGGUGAAAAGACAGGAUGUAUUCCGACGAAAUGCCUUGGAUUCUAGGAGCCAUAUAAUGAACAUGACUAUUUCUCCUUUUGGCCAUAGCCAUAGAAGAAGCUUCUCCUCCGGAGCGGGGGGACCGCCUGACAAUUACAAAGAAACCUUUAAAAUGUGGAUUUAG
rnacentral:rRNA from 1 species